CCCAUUCAUUCUUCACAUUUUCAUUCUAUCAUCUUACCCAUUCUUAAUAUUUGUUCUCUACAUAAACUAUGGAUGCAUAGAAACUAAACCCACUCACCUUGACUUCUCACGGCAUAUCAAAUCCUCACUCAAGGCCUCCACGGGCUUUCCUUAAAUCUAACUUAACUUGUAUUCUUUCAAUUACCUUGUCUGAUAUAACAAUAGGGAAUUUAGAGUCUGAAAUUGGUAGGCCCAAGUAGAAAAUAGGAAACGAACCCACCUUGCAACCGACCACUCUUGCAAGAUUCUCAGCCAGCCUCUCUCCACAGUUAAUACUUAGCAAAGACGACUUGUAAAGGUUUACUUCUAUCCCCAAAACCACUUCACAAAUUUCGAGGAAUCUUGCAAUAUUUUCCAGUUGUUCUGCUUUAGCUACACAAACCACAAGUGUAUUAUCCG
rnacentral:lncRNA from 1 species